AGCUACUUCUUAUGAAGAGAGGAGGACGGGUCAUAUAUGGAGGCGCGCUUGGUACAAACUCACAAAUUAUGAUGAACUACUUUCAGGGGAUACAUGGGAUCCCUCCCAUUACUGAUGGAUAUAAUCCAGCAACUUGGAUGCUGGAAAUCAACACACCAGCUUGUGAAAAGAGGCUUGAUACGGACUUUGCUACUGUAUAAAAAAACUCAGAUCAAUUCAGGGAAGUUGAAGCUCUUAUUCAUCAACUAAGUAGACCAGUUAAUGGUACACAGCCACUGAGAUUCUUUUCACAAGAUACUCUAUCUCAAUUUAGAAUAUGUUAUUGGAAGCAAAAUCUUGUAUACUGGAGAAGUCCAAAGUACAAUGUUGUCUGAUUGUUCUUUACUACUAUCUCUGCUUUAAUACUUGUUAAUACUUGGCUCAGUGUUCUGGAAUGUUGGUUUGAGAAGGCAAUUUGCUUCCAAUAU